UACGUCCUAGAGCAAUUAGAGGUGCCGCUGAAGUGUCUGAUAAAGGCCCUGUGAUGCUUCAAUCAAACUUGGUUUUCUUCCUUUCUAAGUCUCUCUCCAAAGCACCAGGUGCUAUAUUAAAUGUUUUGAUCAAUAUGCCCAAGAAGCAACUCUCAAAAUUCAAAUCAUAUUUUGAACAAAAAUACAGUAUUUAUCUGAAAUAUUAUAUUUUGGAUAUUUAGCAUGGACAUCUUCAUAAAGAUACAAGCAUGUGUCUUUUUUUUGACCCUGCUGCACAAUGAAAUCAUCAGAACACCAGGAACCUGGGCUCAUUAGAGCUCUGUGCUCUUCUUCUCACCCCAGACCCACCACCAUAUGCAUUCCGUCACUAUAUACUUACCUAUUUGGGAUGUCUUUAUGACUGGAGUCAUGUGUAUAGUGUUUUAUAUCUCUUAUCGUUUGCUUCAAAGCAGUGGUUCUCAACCUGUGGAGUGCGAUCCCCUUGGGGUCAAAUGACCCUUUCACAGAGAUCACGUAAGCAAAAUUGCAGUUAUGAAGUAGCAACGAAAUAAUUUUGUGGUGGGGGUCACCACAGCAUGAGGAACUGUAUGGAAGGGUCGCAAGUCUGAGAACUGCUACUUUACAGUGUUCCUGAAAUUCACUGCAUUUUAUCAUGUAGUGUUAUAUAGUGUUUUAUAUCUCUUUUUUCGUUUUUCAUGCUGGAUAGUACACAUUCUACAGAUCAUCCUAAUUUGAUGAUCCACACAUCUGUUGAUGGGCAUUUGGCUAACCCCAUCUCUUGGCUAUCAUUAAUAAUGCUUCUGUGCGCAUGUGCAUACCUAUACUCAUUCCAGUAAAUCUUUCUAACUCUCAUGAGUACAUACCUAGCCGUGGGAUUAAGACCAUGUGGUAAUUCUGUGUUUAACUUUUUGAGGCCCUGCCAAACAUUCUUCCACAGCAUAGAUCCCCAGUCAGUCCCUAUCAAUGCCACACAAGGGAUGUGCCCAUGUCCUGUAGGCGCAGUCCCUUUCAAAAUGAUUGACAUCCUAUUGGGAGUCUCAUGGACAUGGAGGUUGACUUGGCCUGGAUCCCAUGACCGACAUUAUUAAUACAGUCUGUGUCUUUGUUCUUUGGCUGUCUGUACUUCCUUCGCUCCAGGAUAUUUGAUCAAGACUCUCAUAAGCACUGGUAGUUUAUGGGUUGUCAGUGUGUCUCCUCUUCAAGGCCACGAUGCUGACCUGAAGAAGAGUCACCCAUAGCAGAGAACACGAAGAGCACUGAGACGAGAACCCUAUUUGCACACUUGUGAGUGAGCACUACACGCCAUGUUGCCGAAGGACCCUUUCACAGACAGGAGAAUGAACCCUCAAAUGGGAUCAAGUUAUGCCUCGCAAACUCAAGGCAGGAUGAAAAAACAAUUUGAAAGGCUGAUUGUAUGUUUAGUGUUAGAAUCUAAUGCCUUACAUGCAUGGGAGGCUAAUCCAAAGGGCUAACUUUUGAUACAUUUUAUAAUAAGAGUACAGAUUUUUUGAGGCAUUAUGAUCAUCGAAAGAUGGUAAUAGAGUUGAACUGCUGUUGAAUUCUGAAGAGAAGGGCAAGUUACUUGUGUUCCCUGCCAUCCGUGGGCUAUGGCCUUCCUCCCUCUCUCCUUCCUUCCCGCCCUCCCUUCCUUUUCUCUCUCCCUUCUCCUUUCUCUCCUUCCCUCCUUUCUUCCCAGUCCUUUCCUUUACCUCCCUCCUUCCCUCUCUGUUUUAAACAAUGCUUCACAGGUAAACAGUGUGGUGUGUGAGGGGGCAUUAUUUUUCCCUACUAAGAAGCCCAUGAGAUGUGUGAUCAUUGUCAGUUUCCUUUAGUUGAAUUCUUGGAAUGCCUGUUCUGAAAUGGCUAUGCUAUAGAAACCUGAAAGAUAUCUGCUUUUUUUUUUUUUAUUGCUCACUUUCAACACACAAAAAGUAGUACUUCACACAGUGACAUCCAGUGGAGUUUUAUUGGCAUUUCAGCCAGGUGUGCCAGUACCCUGGCCAUCAGCAGGGCUUCAGGUUGGGUUCUGUAGGCAGCUGGACCUCGGAAGGGACAGUGAGAGGGACAUAUGCUGGGAGCCCCUUGUGCUGCGGACUAACAAAUACUGCCCAACUUCACAGACACUCUGGAGGAGAGAGACGGAGCCCACACUAGCUCUGGCCUCAAUCUAGUAUCAUCCUCUUGCUUGGUCAGUGGCCAGCAGAGCCCAGCAUAAGGAGUCACUUGGAUCCCAACUCUGGGGCUGAUCUUGGAGAAACCUGGAGCUCACCACAAUCCUUGCAGCUGAGUAUCAAGCAGUUCCCUAAAUGGGGUUCUGAGAGGUUUACCUCCAUGGUUGUCAUGUGUAGAACUCAUAUGGGCAACUAUGGUCUAGAAUUAAUAAAAAGGCCAGACAGGUGUUGUAUUUGUAAUGUAAGAGGUGCAGAGACAUGAUCAAAGAGGUCAGUGACCAGGCAGCUUAGCCUACUUGGUGAGCUUCAGGCCAGUCGGAGACCCUGUUCCAAAACAACCAGGCAGAUGGGUCCUAAGGAACACACCCAAUGUUGUCCUUUGGCUUCCAUACACACACACACACACACACACACACACACACACACACACACACACACUCACACCAGACUAUAUAACCAUGCACACAUGUGUACACCUGCAUGCAUGUGCAUCACACACACACACAUCAGCCUAUAUAACCAUGCACACAGGUGUUACGCCUGCACGCAUGUGCAUCACACACACACCAGCCUAUAUAACCGUGCACACAGGUGUACACAUACAUGUAUAUGCAUCACACACACACACACACACACACACACACACACACACACACACGGCAAGAAAAUGCUUGCUAGCCAUCACCUCCAACCUGACACCCUCUUUGAAGAAAUAGUACACUAUUACUGAAUUUCCCAAAGCUUCCUGCAAUAACACAGCCCAUACCACUCUGGACUUGCUAGUUAUCCAUAUCUUUAGGACUCUCCCUUUGACUGACUAAUUUCAGUGUCAAAGUGUGGUUAGGAGGCAGUGUUAGCUCACCGAUCAGAGGGAAAAGGUCUAGCGCAGCACCUGCUCAUGGCAGUGGUGAGAAAGACUUGUGAAGUGGAUGCUCAAGCAGUUAAGUUGCGCGAAUAACAAAUUGCUCUGAGGCUCUUUUGCAUGCGGCUUCCAUUCCACGGGCUGAAGAGUGGUAGCACAAGGCCAGAUUCAAGUGCUGUUUUGAGUUUCUGGAAAAUUUAAAGCUACUUUUUUUUUUAAAAGAUCUUUGCUGUGUUUCAAGUAUUUGGAUCAUGGCAACUGCCCAAAUUCAAAAUGCAUUUUACAGGAGAAUUUUCCACUUAAUUGUAAAAUCCCUGUGUGUUUUAAGGAAAAUUCAACCCACAUGUGCCAUUAUUUAAUUUACACGUAACCAUAAAAUAGUUGUUUUGUAAAAGUCUGAAGUGCUAAAGCAUCCAGUCAGUCUUUGGUAUGUUUUUUCCGUUUUGCCCUAAGAAGUGGGAAAUCCUGCAUAUAACAAAUGCAAGAAACACACACAGUGGGAAGACAAGGGCUGAGAAGGAGCUAAGAAUUCUGGGUGUUCUGGUUGGAUUCCCGUGAGGGGCCCUUUCUCUUCCUCCUCUCCCUGUCCCCAGGUAGUGGGUCUCCAUUAGAUGGAAUGGAGACUCCUUGUGAGCCCAAGCAAUCAGCUCUUUCCUUAGGAUUUUUAAGGGUUGGACCCUGUGGUGAUGCCAAUAGCUACUCACUGUGGCCUUGAUUUCUGCUGUGGGCGAGAGACGACUCCUUUCCAAACCUCAAAAGUAAAGCUGACGUCCCUUGUGAGCCUGCAAGACAGCCCUGCUCGUAAGGACGCUAUGCCAAAGAGCCUGCUCCUGAGACAGGAAGUACCCCCACUGUAAAUUAAGGUUUAAUUAAAUAUGUGGGCAAGAAGGGGAGCAUAGUUAAUAUGCUUUCCAGAUCUUUCUGUACGAGUAUCUGAACAACACUUGGGAACAGCAAGCUUUUUUCAUCACAAACAUUAGAGGGUUUGUGCCCAACAAUUUUAUUUUUAAGUGUCCCUAGUUGAACUUAACAUAAAAAUUAGCAUUUGGAUAGGCAUUGCAUUCACAUCACUCUCUUGAGAACUCACCUAGGGAGUGAACCUGUAUGUAGAAAAUAUAGGUAUAGCUCCAACACAUUGCCCAGCUCGCUAUUUGAGAAGUUGGAAAGACGUGGAGUCAGAUGGGUGGUGGUGAUUACAAAAUUAAACUUGAAAAUUCUUUCUUCAUUAACACUCCAUGGCUUGCUUGUCUUAUGAAAUAAUUUGGAAUUCCAGAUCUGUGGAGCUAAGGCCUUCCCAAAGAUUCUGUAUAGUACAGAUUUGAGUAUUUCUACAAAUGCAAAGAACCUCCUUGUAAUACUUAUUGGAAACACAGGAGGAAAGGAUGACCUGACUUGUAUUCUUAGAAUGAAUGCGCGUCCAGGUCAGGUUCUGGUUUAACAUUCUUGUUACAGGUGAAAUCUGCAUCAGGAAUGUCUUCUCUUGUGCUUUGUCACAUAGACAUUUAUAGCGUUGGAGAAGAAAGACAGUGUAACAAGCCAGUGAAACUUUGAAUCCCUCAGCACUGCUCCUGGCAGAAAACUUGACAUAUGCUGAUCUUGCUAACUUUUAGCACUGGGCAGCUAUAGUGAGGGAAACCUCAUCACAAAGCUGGCCUUCUACAGCUCUGUCUACACAGAAGCACCAAGUGCGGUCUGCAUAGAGACUGGGGGAAGACAUGGAUCCUUGUGGGGGAGAGGUGAGUUGGUGUUAGUUUUCAGAAGCCUGAAGUUAAGUGGAGGGAGCAUGCGCUGGAGACACAACAACCCAAAUGCAUGGCCAUUUUUCCUGAAAAACACAAAAUGCAGCUUUCUCUGUUUUGUUCAUGGAUGAUCCAGAAUUCCUGAACAUAAUAGGUGUGCAGUAAAUGCUGCCUGGGUAAUUCAACUCCUGGAGUCCAGCUACACUGUUAACGGUUGAUUGUUCUCAAAUGCUAAUCCUCUAGCCCAAUUUCUUUGAGAUUGUAAAAACCCAUGUGUGACCUUUUGACCCCCAGUUUCCCUGUUAAUUUUGUGAAACAGGGGUUGUGAUCAGGUGAGCAAGUGCUUGAGACAUGACCUCCUCUUUGUUAAAAACCUUAAUGACAAAAUUCUCCAAACUCCCGCGCUGUGCGCAGAACUCCACGAGGCGAAGGGGCUGAGCUGUGAGAGCCAGGCAGCCUUUCUUGCUUCUGGCCGGGGUCGGGUGACACGCAGCUAGUGUCCCAUGAAAUCAUGGGUGGUAUCGGCUUCUGUUAGCUGCAAAACUACGGAGGCCGCUUGGCUCUUCUCCUGAUGUGGUACUGUUGAAGGGAGAGUGUGAGAAAGUUCCUUCCGUAGUACUGAGUUGUGGAAACCACCUAGUUCUCCAAUAACAGAGGUUAAUAUGAGCUAUAGUCGUGUGCAAUUUUUUCAGCAAUGAAGAAGAACGAAGUUACAUCUUUUUUUUUUUUCAGGAGAUAAUCAUAUUCAGUGAAUUAAGCCGUCUCAGGAAAAUAAAUAUCUACUUUCUGUUCUGUGGUCCCAGGGUUUUGCCAGUCACAUAUAAUCAUGUGUGUCUACAGAGAAUGAGAACUGAAGUAGAGUUGUCUUGGAGAACAUGGAGGACAAACGAGAAGGGGGAAUGAGAGCAAAGAAGGGUAGGAGGGGCUCACAGGGGCAUAACCUACAAUACAGACCCACACAGAGACUGAAAGUAAAGUCAUUCCUGAAGGAUGGGCCAUAGAAUCACAUCUUUUCUCAUGAUAAAAUGCUGGGACCCGGGGAGGUGGGAGAUAGUACUUACAGAGCAUGUGAUUCUUUUGAUUUGGACCCUAAAUGACUAAGAAUGCACACCUGUAAGCCCCCCCCCCCUUCCUCCAAUCCCCAUAACUAAUUUCCCCACUUCUUAUUGUGUUUGAAUUACCUGGAGUGAAGCGCGAGGCAGCCCCUCAGCCGCUUGUCAUGAGCACUGUAUCCAUCUGAGGAGGAAAGUAUUAGGUUAGUCAGGUGACAGGCAGGAAUGGGAGCCAUGCACCUUAUACCCAGUGGCCUGAAAUCUAAAAAGAAAAAAAAAAAACGUAUCAAUUCUUUUGGAGAUCCUCAGCACAGACAAGAGAAGGGUAGAGGGGGAAGUGUUCAGGUUGCAUUUCUGGGCAGUCCUUUCUACCCUAAACCCAACACUCUGAGAACUGAAAUUUGGCCCCUUUGCGAGAUUAGGCUUCCCAAAUUAGCUGUCUUUGGUGACAGCAAAAAUACCCGCCUGUCCCCUUAAGCAAAACUCUCCCACCUGAGUGAGAAACCAGAGGCAUGGCCCAAGCCCAGGACAGGUGUUUAACAGGAUGCUGAAAAGCAACAGGCUUCCACACGCAGUACCUCUGAGCACAUUGCUGGAGGGAUUUGGCCGUGUGAGAAGCCUUGAUUACUGUGGGGCUAAAUUAAAGGCAGGUUCUGUAAUACUGGUACAGGAAUCAACAGGGGCAUAUUUGUUGGCUCAUAAGAAAAGUCCUAAGUCUUGUUACAUCUUGAGAAAGUGGGCAUCUUUUAGUGCAGUCAAAACCUGUGGUAAGAAGUGAGUUUUAAGUUCCUGGCUGUCGGGAUGUUUCUCCAUGGAGGGCUAUUAUUAUUAUCUUUAAGGAAAACUACCCUUAAAAGGAAAUUCUAUAAGAGUUGUUCUAAAUAGUGUGUGGAAUGUUGGAGAUGCUUUCCCAUUCGGGCUUAUUUCACACCCUAAGUACCUAUGUGGUGUGAGCAGUGUGAGCGGCAAUGGCACGUAGAGGAGAAAGGUGAAGCAGCGUGAAGAAACGAGGUUAUGUUUGUUUUGCGGAAAACUUUGUUCUGGAAAAUGCACACUCUUUCUUUAGAAAUGCAGUUUUGUCAAGAAAUCACAGGAAAGAAGUCCUCUCCCAGUUCAGUCUGAAUUAGAACACCCCUGCUUCCCGUGCCCUGACUCUUUUCCUCUCCAUCCUUGGAACCACACAGAAGCACACGUUUGACUGUUCAUUCACGGAGCCCUGUGUGACCAUGAGGUAGGUGUGCUAUGACAUCCAGAAGCCCCUAACCCCUGCC